rnacentral:rRNA from 1 species
UUGACCUCGGAUCAGGUAGGAAUACCCGCUGAACUUAAGCAUAUCAAUAAGCGAAGGA